rnacentral:snoRNA from 1 species
UGGCAGUGAGGAGAGAAUAUAGGGGUUGAGUUAAAGUGAUGAAUUUAUACGCUAUUCUGAGCCAGCA